rnacentral:rRNA from 1 species
CUGACGGAGCACGCCGCGUGAGUGAUGAAGGUUUUCGGAUCGUAAAGCUCUGUUGUUAGGGAAGAACAAGUGCCGUUCAAAUAGGGCGGCACCUUGACGGUACCUAACCAGAAAGCCACGGCUAACUACGUGCCAGCAGCCGCGGUAAUACGUAGGUGGCAAGCGUUGUCCGGAAUUAUUGGGCGUAAAGGGCUCGCAGGCGGUUUCUUAAGUCUGAUGUGAAAGCCCCCGGCUCAACCGGGGAGGGUCAUUGGAAACUGGGGAACUUGAGUGCAGAAGAGGAGAGUGGAAUUCCACGUGUAGCGGUGAAAUGCGUAGAGAUGUGGAGGAACACCAGUGGCGAAGGCGACUCUCUGGUCUGUAACUGACGCUGAGGAGCGAAAGCGUGGGGAGCGAACAGGAUUAGAUACCCUGGUAGUCCACGCCGUAAACGAUGAGUGCUAAGUGUUAGGGGGUUUCCGCCCCUUAGUGCUGCAGCUAACGCAUUAAGCACUCGCCCCGGGGG